GUAAAAUAUCAAAAAACGGAUUCAAAAUUAUUUUCUUCCGCUAUAAAAAAAAUUUUCCAUGAAUUGUAGGGCCAGUUCCAGCGUCCAACAGUUGAAAACAAGAAAAAUAUUUCUCCAGAGGGAUGUAAAUGCAUAAAUUUACAAGUAAUUGUUGAGAAAAUACGUAAAUCUAGUAGCAUUGGACCACCGUUUCCUUUGGCGGAGUCUAGUAUAGCACAUAUAGGAGAAUGAUGAAACGUUGAUAUAUUUCCAUUUUGCCCGAGUGUAUUAUAUACCUGCACUUUCCGGAAGCAGGCUCCUUGUUCAAAUGACUCUCUUGGGUGGCUUUAAAGAACCGUGAAGGAUCAGACGACCUCAGACGACUACCAGCUGCUUCUUACUAUUACGCCGUUCCUCUACCGGUACUGCUGGCCCUUUAAACUUUUAAAGGGCUCUGGAGAGUCCAAAAAUAUAUGCUACGCCCAGAACGAAAAAAUUUUUAACUGGAAGAAUUUUUUCCGCGAAUUUAAGCAUCAGACUUUAAACAGAUGGCUGAGGAUAGUGAACUGAGCAUGACUAAACCUCGAGGAAUUUUUAAAGACUCAUUCUGUAAAGAUUGCAUAAUGAUUGCAAGUUGCUAAUUAUUAUUCAAAAAAAGAAGGUUCUAAUUUUUUUGAAUGUAUAAUUUUAUUGAUCAAUAAUAUUAUCUUUGAUGAAACAAAAUAUACAUAUGUUAAUGGAAGAACCUAAUUUUUUUUAUAAAUAAAAAAAUUAUUUUAUUAAUAAAUUAUUUCGUACUUGUAAAUUAAAACUCUGAGCAAACUAUAAUAAAAUCGUACAUAAAAUUAUUGUGGCCUAUAAAAUUGUCUAUAAAAAGCGACACGAGGGUCAUAAGCCCGGUGCUGUUUAAGAGAAGGAGAAUGUUAAAAAUCAAUUAUUUCCUUUUUUUAAUUAUAA